CACCCCUUGGUGCAGAUAAGCCAUCAGGACACGGUUUAGUACACUCCCGCAACCUGCGGGGGGCGAUGGAAAGACCGUGAGGCUAAAAGGAG
rnacentral:ncRNA from 1 species